rnacentral:rRNA from 1 species
UGUCCAGACUCCUACGGGAGGCAGCAGUGGGGAAUAUUGCACAAUGGGGGGAACCCUGAUGCAGCGACGCCGCGUGGGUGAAGGAGUCAUUCGUGCCGUAAAGCCCUAUCAGCAGGGAAGAAAAUGACGGUACCUGACUAAGAAGCCCCGGCUAACUACGUGCCAGCAGCCGCGGUAAUACGUAGGGGGCAAGCGUUAUCCGGAUUUAUUGGGUUUAAAGGGUGCGUAGGCGGAAUGCCAAGUCAGCGGUAAAAUCGCGGGGCUCAACCUCGCUCCGCCGUUGAAACUGGCGUUCUUGAGUGGGCGAGAAGUAUGCGGAAUGCGUGGUGUAGCGGUGAAAUGCAUAGAUAUCGCGCAGAACUCCGAUUGCGAAGGCAGCGUACCGGCGCCGGACUGACGCUGAGGCACGAAAGCGUGGGUAUCGAACAGGAUUAGAUACCCGGGUAGA